rnacentral:rRNA from 1 species
CUACGUGCCAGCAGCCGCGGUAAUACGGAGGGUGCGAGCGUUAAUCGGAAUUACUGGGCGUAAAGCGCACGCAGGCGGUUGAUUGAGUCAGAUGUGAAAUCCCCGGGCUUAACCCGAGAAUUGCAUCUGAUACUGGUCAGCUAGAGUCUUGUAGAGGGGGGUAGAAUUCCAUGUGUAGCGGUGAAAUGCGUAGAGAUGUGGAGGAAUACCGGUGGCGAAGGCGGCCCCCUGGACAAAGACUGACGCUCAGGUGCGAAAGCGUGGGGAGCAAACAGGAUUAGAUACCCUGGUAGUCCACGCUGUAAACGAUGUCGACUUGGAGGUUGUGCCCUUGAGGCGUGGCUUCCGGAGCUAACGCGUUAAGUCGMCCGCCUGGGGAGUACGGCCGCAAGGUUAAAACUCAAAUGAAUUGACGGGGGCCCGCACAAGCGGUGGAGCAUGUGGUUUAAUUCGAUGCAACGCGAAGAACCUUACCUACUCUU